GAUGAACGCUAGCUACAGGCUUAACACAUGCAAGUCGAGGGGAAACGACAUCGAAAGCUUGCUUUUGUUGUGCCUCGACCGGCGCACGGGUGAGUAACGCGUAUCCAACCUGCCCACCACUUAGCGUUAACCUUGCGAAAGUAAGACCAAUACCCAAUGAUAUCCCCCGAAUACAUCAGAAUGGGAUGAAAGUUUUAUCGGUGAUAGAUGGGGAUGCGUCUGAUUAGCUUGUUGGCGGGGUAACGGCCCACCAAGGCAACGAUGCGUAGGUGUUCUGAGAGGAAGGUACCCCACAUUGGAGAUGAGACCCAGUCCACACUCCGACGGGACAGAGCAGAGAGGAUUAUUAGUCGAGAGGCGAGAGCCUGACACAGCCAAGUAGCGUGCAGGAAGACGGCGAUAUGGGUUGUAAACUGCUUUUAUAAGGGAAAAAAGUGGGUAACGUGUGACUUUUUGCAUGUACCUAAUGAAUAAGGACCGGCUAAUUCCGUG
rnacentral:rRNA from 1 species